UACGUAGGGUGCGAGCGUUAAUCGGAAUUACUGGGCGUAAAGCGUGCGCAGGCGGCUUUGCAAGACAGAUGUGAAAUCCCCGGGCUCAACCUGGGAACUGCAUUUGUUACUGCAAGGCUAGAGUACGGCAGAGGGGGAUGGAAUUCCGCGUGUAGCAGUGAAAUGCGUAGAUAUGCGGAGGAACACCAAUGGCGAAGGCAAU
rnacentral:rRNA from 1 species